rnacentral:rRNA from 1 species
ACUUGGUGUUACUGCGAAGGGGGGACGGAGAAGGCUAUGUUGGCCGGGCGACGGUUGUCCCGGUUUAAGCGUGUAGGCUGGUUUUCCAGGCAAAUCCGGAAAAUCAAGGCUGAGGCGUGAUGACGAGGCACUACGGUGCUGAAGCAACAAAUGCCCUGCUUCCAGGAAAAGCCUCUAAGCAUCAGGUAACAUCAAAUCGUACCCCAAACCGACACAGGUGGUCAGGUAGAGAAUACCAAGGCGCUUGAGAGAACUCGGGUGAAGGAACUAGGCAAAAUGGUGCCGUAACUUCGGGAGAAGGCACGCUGAUAUGUAGGUGAGGUCCCUCGCGGAUGGAGCUGAAAUCAGUCGAAGAUACCAGCUGGCUGCAACUGUUUAUUAAAAACACAGCACUGUGCAAACACGAAAGUGGACGUAUACGGUGUGACGCCUGCCCGGUGCCGGAAGGUUAAUUGAUGGGGUUAGCGCA